rnacentral:rRNA from 2 species
UACGGAGGGUGCGAGCGUUGUCCGGAAUCACUGGGCGUAAAGGGCGCGUAGGCGGCCCGGCAAGUCGAUGGUGAAAGCUCGCGGCUCAACUGCGAGUCGGCCACUGAUACUGCUGGGCUAGAGCACUGUAGAGGCAGAUGGAAUUCCGGGUGUAGCGGUGGAAUGCGUAGAGAUCCGGAAGAACACCGGUGGCGAAGGCGGUCUGCUGGGCAGUUGCUGACGCUGAGGCGCGACAGCGUGGGGAGCAAACAGG